rnacentral:rRNA from 1 species
GAACGCUGGCGGCGUGCUAACACAUGCAAGUCGAGCGGUAACAGGUGUAGCAAUACAUGCUGACGAGCGGCGAACGGGUGAGUAAUGCUUCGGAAUCUGCCCAAUGGUGGGGAAUAACCAGCCGAAAGGUUGGCUAAUACCGCAUAAGUCCUACGGGGGAAAGCAGGGGAUCGCAAGACCUUGCGCCGAUGGAUGAGCCGAAGUCGGAUUAGCUAGUUGGUAGGGUAACGGCCUACCAAGGCGACGAUCCGUAGCUGGUCUGAGAGGACGACCAGCCACACUGGGACUGAGACACGGCCCAGACUCCUAUGGGAGGCAGCAGUGGGGAAUAUUGGACAAUGGGGGAAACCCUGAUCCAGCGACGCCGCGUGUGUGAAGAAGGCCUGCGGGUUGUAAAGCACUUUUAGUGGGGAUGAAAAGCUCAGGGCUAACACCUCUGGGUCUUGACCUAACCCAAAGAAAAAGCACCGGCUAACUCUGUGCCAGCAGCCGCGGUAAUACAGAGGGUGCGAGCGUUAAUCGGAAUUACUGGGCGUAAAGCGUGCGUAGACGGUUAUGUAAGUCGGGUGUGAAAGCC